rnacentral:miRNA from 1 species
UCUGAGGGCUUUUGCAGGGAGCAA